AUUGAACGCUGGCGGCAGGCCUAACACAUGCAAGUCGAACGAGUGGCGGACGGGUGUGUAAUGUCUGGGACACUGCCCGAUGGAGGGGGAUAACUACUGGAAAAGGUCGCUAAUACCACAUACCAUCCGAAGUCCCCAGAUGGGAUUGGCUAGUAGGUGGGGUAAUGGCUCACCUAGGCGACGACCCCUCGCUGGUCUGAGAGGAUGACCAGCCACACUGGAACUGAGACACGGUCCAGACUCCUACGGGAGGCAGCAGUGGGGAAUAUUGCACAAUGGGCGCAAGCCUGAGGCAGCCAUGCCGCGUGUAUGAAGAAGGCCGUCGGGUUGUAAAGUACUUGCAGCGAGGAGGCGUUACUCGCAGAAGAAGCACCGGCUAACUCCGUGCCAGCAGCCGCGGUAAUUC
rnacentral:rRNA from 1 species